AUGAACGCUAGCGGCAGGCCUAAUACCUGCCAGUCGCGGGGUAUGGGUUGCUUGCAACCCAGAGACCGGCGCACGGGUGCGUAACGCGUAUGCAAUCUACCUUAAUCAGGGGGAUAGCCCGGAGAAAUCCGGAUUAACACCGCAUAACAUUGAGUUGUGGCAUCACAGUUCAAUCAAAUAUUUAUAGGAUUAAGAUGAGCAUGCGUGACAUUAGUUAGUUGGUGAGGUAACGGCUCACCAAGACCACGAUGUCUAGGGGAUCUGAGAGGAUGACCCCCCACACUGGUACUGAGACACGGACCAGACUCCUACGGGAGGCAGCAGUAAGGAAUAUUGGUCAAUGGGCGCAAGCCUGAACCAGCCAUGCCGCGUGCAGGAAGACGGCCCUAUGGGUUGUAAACUGCUUUUGUACCGGAAUAAACCUUCUCUUGCGAGAGAAGCUGAACGUACGGUAAGAAUAAGAAUCGGCUAACUCCGUG
rnacentral:rRNA from 1 species